rnacentral:lncRNA from 1 species
AAGGCUACUAACUUGGAUCACACGGCCGACCACACGCUCAUGUGCCAGCCCGUGUGUCACACACAACCGGUAGACACACCCAUGUGUCUAGGCUGUGCCGAAACUGUAGGGUAUACUGACUUUAAAUCAUAGGGUACCCAAGGGACACACAACCGUGUAACAUAACUAUGUGUCGCACACGGAUGAGACACACGCCCGUGUGAAUAAAAAUAGGCUAUUUGCAAAGCUAAAUUGCCACCCAUUUUGGACAUUCCUGCAAGCAUGAAACAAAGCACAUUUCAUAUCUCAAAGGCAGCCAAAAAUAUACUAAAUCAUGCACAAAUUGACCCAUGAUAUCAUCAUUCAUUCCCAUAUAAAAAUCCAAUUCAAACAUACCAAUUCAAGGUACAAAUUUUAUAUCAAAAGCACAUGAUUCAUACAUCAUAUUAAUCCAUUUCAAUUCAUAGCAUUACACAUCAUAUUAACUACCCAAAUUAAUCAUGAAACUUACCAAAAUUGACCAUUUCAUUUGGUCAUUCAAGAGCACAUCAAAACUUACCAAAAUUGAACACAAAACAUGUACCAAAAUUCAUUCAUAAUUUCAUCCAUAACCAAGCCAUAUCAUAUGGCUAGAUAUACACAUCUUAAAACACAUUCAAAGUUAUCUAGCCUAUACAUGCCAUACUUUGAUAUAUACAUUUUCAAAAGGUACCAAAAUUAAGUUUGAUAGUGUAAUGAUAAUCCUCGACAAUCCCCGAGCCUCCAAUAGUUUCGAUAUCUAUAAAACGGAUGAAAAACACACAAAGUAAGCUUUCAAAAGCUUAGUAAGUCAUAUACAAAUAAACUUAUCACAUAAAUAAUUUAAAUUCAAUUCAAUCAUAUAGAUCAUGGCAAAGCAUAACCACAUAUCUAUAAAUCUCAUAUAGCUCAUACAUAUUUCAUAUGUCUACAUAUGUUCAAAUACUAACAUUUUAUUCUUAAUUAUGAUAUACAUUUCCAACAUACUUGAGUCGAUACACAACCACAUAGUUACUCAUUUCUCGGAAUGUCCGUUGAACCGUUCAGAAUCAUUAAGGAUAUUCGGAUAGCUGGAAAAGCUCGUACAAUGCCAACAUCCCAGACGUGGUCUUACAUGUAAUCAAAUAUUGAUGCCAUUGUCCCAGAUAGGGUCUUACACGAAAUCAAAUACGAUUCCAAUGUCUCAGACAUGGUCUUAUAUGUAAAUCUCAAAUUAAUGCCAACGCCUCAGACGUGGUCUUACACGAAAUCACAUAUUGGAAAUCCUAUGUCAUGACAUAUGAAUCCUUACUAUUCUUAUGGUUCAUAAAGGACAUUUUCGGACGUCGUCACAUUGUCAGAAUUUUCUUGGAUUUCAUAUAUUCAGCUCUCAUAUCCAUCCACCACAAUUCAAAUCUCAUAUAAGCAAUAAUAAUUCAAUUUAACACAUUUAUUUGUAUAUCGACUUACCUCGUACGGAUUCGAACGAACAAAAUCAACUACUUGAUGACUUUCGACUUACUCCGAUCUAAAUCUGUUUUCUUUGGUUUUUGAUCUAAAUAAAUUCAAAUUUAACUUAUUCAAUCUCACAUUAAUUUAAAAUCAAUCCAUUUACACAUAUUUAGGACAUUUUACAAAUUAGUCCUCAUAUUUUCACGUUUUAACACUUUAGUCAUUAAUUCAUAAAAUCACAAAAUACACAAAAUUUCUUUAGACAUAUGCUUAGCCAAAUAUUCAUUUAGAUCAUACAAGCCCACAUAUUUUAUUUAUUUCUUAUUUUAGUCCCUCAAAAUCUUAUUUUCACAAUUUAGCCCAAAAUACUUAAAUUCAUCAAAAAUUUAAAGACAAAACAUAUGUAUCUGUCAUCAAGCUUCCAUAUUUCAUCAACUAACAUUAAAAAACUCUCUAAAUCAUCAAUAGCAUAACUCAAAAUCAUAAUUAAAUUUAGAAAUUGAGGCAUGGGCUUCAAAAAUUACAAAGCAACGAUCACAAAAACAAAUAAAUUAUCAAAAACAGAACAAAAACGAACCUUCAAUUGUGUUUAAGCAUGGUCGAACCCUAGAACUCUUUUCUUUUUCUUUUUCUUCUUUAAAUUUUGGCAAUAUGAACAUAAAAUGCCUAAUUUCAUGCCUUGUUUUAUUUUAUUACAUAAUAAUUCAUCAUUUACUAAAUUACCCUUUAUAAUUAAACAUAUAAUUCAUGAUAAUUAAGGCAAUUAAUGUCCACUCAAGCUUGAAAUAGUCUAUUCAGAACAUAAGAACCUCUCCUUUAAUAAGACAUAACAAAUAAACACACUUAAUAUAUAGCAUGUAACUUUUACAUUUUACGCGAUUAGGUCUUUUUUAACAAAUCAGCACACAAAUGAUAACAUUUUCAUACGUAACUUUCACAGAUAUCAAUUCACAUAUCGUAAGCACAGAAAAUAAUAUUAAAAUAUUUUUCUAACUCAAUUUUGUGGUACCAAAACCACUGUUUCGACUAGGGUCUAAAUCGGGCUAUUACAUUAUUUGUAAAAUGUUCUGAAAGUUCCGGUAAUACUCUAAAACCCUAUUCCAACGACGGAUACGUGUUAGGGGUGUUACAGGAGUAAUUUGUUUAGAGUAAAUAAUGGAGUGUUGAGCUUGAGUCUCCACUCAUCGGGUUAUUUGAGGCACUAUAAGGGAGCUUGUGGCUUCGACCUGCUCAAUUCGAAAGACUAUAUUUGAUUUGUGGGGGUUAAGAGAUCCGUUUAUCUAAUAUAUGAUCACAUGUUUACUUUUUUCCAUGGAUGUGUUAUGAUUGAUUGAUUUUGACUAUAAAAUUGAAUGUUUACGUGUUAAAAAAUGAUUUUACAUGCCAUGGAAAAAUGAAUCCUUAAUUCUUGAAAUAGUAUGUGAUGUUAUGGUGAAAUGUUAACAUGUUGUGACUAAAAAACUAAUGUUUAAUUGCUUUGAUUUAUGCAUGAUUGGGUGUAAAAUACUUGAUGUUUUUACUAUCAUGCACUGAGCUUUUUAACCUCACACUCUCACAUUUCGUCAGAGAAAUUUCAGGCUUAAAGAGUCAAGUAGUGAGUGCAAGGGCGAUCCAAGAAUAAGGCUCAGUAAUGGCUUAAGAAAUUUACUUUAGAGACUAUAUAAGGGCAUUGUGGUGCUUUUGGGACUAGUAUUAUUUUACUUGUAAUUGGCAUUGUACAUUAAAUUUUGGACUUUAAUUUUGGUGAUUUUAUAAUUGCUUUAAUACAUGAUUUUAUGUUUAAUUGAUGUUUGAUUUAUGAUAUGUUGAUGAGUGUUCAUACGGUUGUUGAUAACACAGUGUAUGAAGCAUGUAUUUUAUACUAAAAAUGUUUAAUUGAAGCUUACCAUGGAGUAGAUUGCUUGCGACAAAGGUAUGUAGCUUGUGUGAAUUAAUUGGUGUUUGCUAAGCAUGUAAUUGGGUGUUAAAUUUUGAUUAACUAUUACAUAUUUGUUUUAAAUAAAUUAAAUUGGAGAUGCGUGAAUGUUUAUUGUAAUUAAUUGUAGCUAUUUCAAAUUUAAUGGGCAAGUAAAAUAUGUAAAAUCGAGUAAUUAAAACGAAUUUUUGUUAAAAUAAGUGCAGUGGUUUGCACACGGGCGUGUGUCUUUUAACAUGGGCAUGUGAGUUUUUGGGGUUUGAUUUUUUAUUUUUGUAAUUUAGUAUUGUAUUUUGCUUAAUUUAUAAUUUAGUCCAAAAACUUGAUUAGAUUAAUUAAAGCCUUUAAUGAUAGGGAAACUUGGUAAUAUUUUAGAAUUAGACUUGUAACUAUUAAUAUUUGAUAAAAUCACUCUUUAUUUUUAAUUUUGAAAAUGUACUAAAACUUUAUAAAAGUUACGAUUUAGUCCCUAUUAAUAAAACUUGGAUUAGACAUAGUAAAUUAACUCGAAUUAAGCUGAAAUUUUUAGGUAUGCAUAAUUUAACUAAAAGAAGGUAAGUAAAAAUUUUAAAAAAAAUAAGGAUAGUUUAACCUUAGGUGAUAAAAUGACUAAAAUACUCUUAAAUUUAAAUAUUUAAAAAAAUUUUAAAAAUGAUUAACAAAUUACUUCCGCAUUAAUAAAUGAUAUUUAAUUAGUUAUAAAUGAGUGUUCUAAAGUUGGUGUGUGCAUCGACUGGUCGUUAGUUAGAGAGUCAUUUCGAUGGUUAAUGUAACGUUUUGAAUUUGAGCUUUUUCAUCCCGAUCGAGUUUGGAGUUUUACACUUCUAGGAAUAAGAUUACUCACGAGGUAUUUUCCACUCUAUUCCUAAUUUACUCACCUCUAUUUUGGGAUUUCUGUGCGAGUUGGAUACCCUUUUGUUGCAUCGUGUUCGUUCUGAGGCUUUUGCGCCGCUGUUCUGGAAGGCUCCUACUGAUUUGUGGGUCCGUCCUAACUUUGAUGCGGCUCUUUUUAUCAAUCUCCAGGCUGCAAGUGCAGGAGUAGUGGUUAGAAAUAACGAGGGACUGUUAUCAGGUCGACGUGCUUUUGGAAGGAGCAAAUACCUUGUCCUCUAUCAGCGGAGGCCCUGGCUUUUGCGCAGGCUAUCCGCUUUGCCCGAGAUCUAGGCUUUCGCUGGGUUGAAACCGAAGGCAACUCUGCGGUGCUUCUCUAAGCUACGGAAUUCGGCCACUGAUCGUUUGCCCCUGAGCGCAUUUGUCUGGGACGCAAAAAGGCUGGUGGUGGGCUUUGAACGAUUUAAAUGUCAACAUAUUAAGUGGGGAGGCUAUGUGGUGGGUCACAUGUUGGAGUGCAAAGGCCAUAUUCGAAAGCGAGAUGUCUUUUGGAUGUCGGCUGUGGAUGUUGGUCGUCGGGGACAUCUUUGAUCUUGAAGGUGAGCUCUCGGAUGGAGUUUUUUCUGGCCAGAUCUAUAUUUCUCGAUGGCAGGUUGUUGUGGCUUCAUCAUGUUCGUUGCUUGGUGUCAGAUCCAGUCGAUGCUGCUGCUCUUAUCGGACAUGCAUGCGUAGCUGGGAAAGACAAUGACUCUUUAGCUACUUCUGUUCUCUGUUCCCUUUUUUUUUUCUUUUUUUUGUGAUACUUUUAUGGCUCUUGGUUGUUUUGCUGGUUUGCUGGUUGUUAUUUUCUUUUGAUUUGUGGGGGAUGGGAUCGCAUUAAUGGGCGAAGCUCCCUAUGUGUUUUGUUUUGUCUCUUUAAAUUAAUGCACGUCCUCUUUAUUCAAUAAAAAUAUAACUAUUUAAUAUA